UACGGGGGGAGCAAGCGUUGUUCGGAUUUACUGGGCGUAAAGGGCGCGUAGGCGGUCACGACAAGUCAGUUGUGAAAUCUCCGGGCUUAACUCGGAACGGUCAACUGAUACUGUCGGACUAGAGUGCAGAAGGGGCAACUGGAAUUCUCGGUGUAGCGGUGAAAUGCGUAGAUAUCGAGAGGAACACCAGAGGUGAAGACGGGUUGCUGGGCUGACACUGACGCUGAGGCGCGAAAGCCAGGGGAGCAAACGGG
rnacentral:rRNA from 1 species